rnacentral:tRNA from 1 species
ACAGUGGUGGUUAGGUGGUUGAAUUCUCACCUUCUAUGCGGGAGACCUGGGUUCGAUUCCCAGCCAAUGCA